GGUGAGAAAUGAUGGAUGAGAAAUGAAAAUCCUAAUGUGACUAAUAGAUUUCUACUAAGUACUGUGGUCUAAUCAAUGCCAUGUACCUCACCUAACAGUUAUUAAUAAUAUGCACACUGAUGCGUGGAUAACUCUUUGUCCAAAUACUUCUCUGAGCAUAUUACAGUGACUUGAUCUCUAAGUCAUGUGGGCUCACCUAACAGUUAUUGAUCACACUACUUAGUUAAGCCCGACCCACUAUUCACAAGCUGGUGCAAG
rnacentral:lncRNA from 1 species